rnacentral:rRNA from 1 species
GACCUCAAAUCAGGUAGGACUACCCGCUGAACUUAAGCAUAUCAAUAAGCGGAGGAAAAGAAACUAACCAGGAUUCCCCUAGUAACGGCGAGUGAACCGGGAAGAGCUCAAAUUURAAAUCUGGCGUUCUUCGGACGUCCGAGUUGUAAUCUAUAGAAGUGUUUUCCGUGGUGGACCGUGUCCAAGUUCCUUGGAAAAGGAUAUCAGAGAGGGUGAUAAUCCCGUCCUUGACACGACAACCAUUGCUCUGUGAUACACUUUCUACGAGUCGAGUUGUUUGGGAAUGCAGCUCAAAAUGGGUGGUAAAUUCCAUCUAAAGCUAAAUAUUGGCGAGAGACCGAUAGCGAACAAGUACCGUGAGGGAAAGAUGAAAAGCACUUUGGAAAGAGAGUUAAACAGUAUGUGAAAUUGUUGA